rnacentral:rRNA from 1 species
CCGUAGCCCAAGAGAUCGGGAUAACACCUGGAAACAGAUGCUAAUACCGGAUAACAACAGAUGAUGCCUAUCAACUGUUUAAAAGAUGGUUCUGCUAUCACUCUUGGAUGGACCUGCGGUGCAUUAGCUAGUUGGUAGGGUAACGGCCUACCAAGGCGACGAUGCAUAGCCGAGUUGAGAGACUGAUCGGCCACAUUGGGACUGAGACACGGCCCAAACUCCUACGGGAGGCAGCAGCA